AUGAACGCUAGCGGCAGGCCUAAUACAUGCAAGUCGAACGGCUCGCAAGAGCAGUGGCAAACGGGUGCGUAACGCGUAAACAACCUGCCCACAACUGGGGGAUAGCCUUGCGAAAGCGGGGGUAAACCCGCAUGGUCCCUUUGCCUCACCUGGGGUGAGGGGUAAACAUUUAUGGGUUGUGGAGGGGUUUGCGUCUGAUUAGCUAGUUGGCAGGGUAACGGCCUACCAAGGCAAUGAUCAGUAGGGGUUCUGAGAGGAUUGGCCCCCACAUGGGUACUGAGAGACGGACCCAACUCCUACGGGAGGCAGCAGUAGGGAAUAUUGGGCAAUGGAGGCAACUCUGACCCAGCCAUGCCGCGUGCAGGAUGAAGGCGCUCAGCGUUGUAAACUGCUUUUAUCUGGGAAGAACGUGCAGGGUGCGCCUUGCAGUGACGGUACCAGAGGAAUAAGCACCGGCUAACUCCGU
rnacentral:rRNA from 1 species